UGGAUCCAGACUUUGAUCAUGGCUCAGGACGAACGCUGGCGGCGUGCUUAACACAUGCAAGUCGAACGGAGCACCCUUGAAGGAGUUUUCGGACAACGGAUAGGAAUGCUUAGUGGCGGACUGGUGAGUAACGCGUGAGGAACCUGCCUUUCGGAGGGGGACAACAGUUGGAAACGACUGCUAAUACCGCAUGAUACAUUUGUGUCGCAUGGCAUGAAUGUCAAAGAUUUAUCGCCGAAAGAUGGCCUCGCGUCUGAUUAGCUAGUUGGUGGGGCAACGGCCCACCAAGGCGACGAUCAGUAGCCGGACUGAGAGGUUGGCCGGCCACAUUGGGGCUGAGAUACGGCCCAGACUCCUACGGGAGGCAGCAGUGGGGAAUAUUGGGCAAUGGACGCAAGUCUGACCCAGCAACGCCGCGUGAAGGAAGAAGCCUUUCGGGUUGUAAACUUCUUUUAAGGGGGAAGAGCAGAAGACGGUACCCCUUGAAUAAGCCACGGCUAACUACGUGCCAGCAGCCGCGGUAAUACGUAGGUGGCAAGCGUUGUCCGGAUUUACUGGGUGUAAAGGGCGUGCAGCCGGAGAGGCAAGUCAGAUGUGAAAUCCGCGGGCUCAACCCGCGAACUGCAUUUGAAACUGCUUCCCUUGAGUAUCGGAGAGGUAACCGGAAUUCCUAGUGUAGCGGUGAAAUGCGUAGAUAUUAGGAAGAACACCAGUGGCGAAGGCGGGUUACUGGACGACAACUGACGGUGAGGCGCGAAAGCGUUGGGAGCAAACAGGAUUAGAUACCCUGGUAGUCCACGCUGUAAACGAUCAAUACUGGGUGUGCGGGGACUGACCCCCUGCGUGCCGGAGUUAACACAGUAAGUAUUGCACCUGGGGAGUACGAUCGCAAGG
rnacentral:rRNA from 1 species